UGUUUCCUACGGGAGGCAGCAGUGAGGAAUAUUGGUCAAUGGGCUUACGCCUGAACCAGCCAAGUCGCGUGAGGGAAGACUGCCCUAUGGGUUGUAAACCUCUUUUGUCAGGGAGCAACGCCGGCUACGUGUAGCCGGACUGAGAGUACCUGAAGAAAAAGCAUCGGCUAACUCCGUGCCAGCAGCCGCGGUAAUACGUAGGGGGCAAGCGUUAUCCAGAUUUACUGGGUGUAAAGGGAGCGUAGACGGCAGUGCAAGUCCGGAGUGAAAGCCCGGGGCUCAACCCUGGGACUGCUCUGGAAACU
rnacentral:rRNA from 1 species